rnacentral:rRNA from 1 species
AGUGAACGCUGGCGGCAGGCCUAACACAUGCAAGUCGAACGGCAGCACAGGAGAGCUUGCUCUCCGGGUGGCGAGUGGCGGACGGGUGAGGAAUACAUCGGAAUCUGCCCAGUCGUGGGGGAUAACCUCGGGAAACCGGGACUAAUACCACAUACGACCUACGGGUGAAAGCAGGGGACCUUCGGGCCUUGCGCGAUUGGAUGAGCCGAUGUCGGAUUAGCUAGUUGGAGGGGUAAUGGCCCACCAAGGCGACGAUCCGUAGCUGGUCUGAGAGGAUGAUCAGCCACACUGGGACUGAGACACGGCCCAGACUCCUACGGGAGGCAGCAGUGGGGAAUAUUAGACAAUGGGCGCAAGCCUGAUCCAGCCAUGCCGCGUGAGUGAAGAAGGCCCUCGGGUUGUAAAGCUCUUUUGUUGGGAAAGAAAAGCAAUCGGUUAAUACCCGGUUGUUCUGACGGUACCCAAAGAAUAAGCACCGGCUAACUUCGUGCCAGCCGCCGCAGUAACAC